ACGGGAGGCAGCAGUGAGGAAUAUUGGUCAAUGGGCGAGAGCCUGAACCAGCCAAGUAGCGUGCAGGAUGACGGCCCUAUGGGUUUUAAACUGCUUUUAUGCGGGAAUAAACGCCGCCACGCGUGGUGUUUUGCAUGUACCGCAUGAAUAAGGACCGCCUAAUUCCGUGCCAGCAGCCGCGGUAAUACGGAAGGUCCGGGCGUUAUCCGGAUUUAUUGGGUUUAAAGGGAGCGUAGGCGGCCUUUUAAGCGUGUUGUGAAAUGUCCCGGCUCAACCGUGGCACUGCAGCGCGAACUGGAGGGCUUGAGUGCGGAGGAAGUAGGCGGAAUUCGUCGUGUAGCGGUGAAAUGCUUAGAUAUGACGAAGAACUCCGAUUGCGAAGGCAGCUUACUGUAGCGUUAAUGACGCUGAUGCUCGAAGGUGCGGGUAUCGAACAGGAUUAGAUACCCUGGUA
rnacentral:rRNA from 1 species